UCCAUCAUCUCUUCUUUGAAGAAACCAAGAGAACAAGAGAGAACAAAUAAUAGGCAUGCUGAGACUGUUAUUGCUUCUUGGGCCCAGCUUUGGGCUUGGAGCUUUCAUCUCACAAAUGCCACACCAAGGGAUAUGGAGGAGUGGAGAUUCAGUAGAGAUCCAAUGUCAUCUGAUCGACUUCAAUGUUCCAGUCACUAUGUGGUAUCAACAGCUUCCAGAACAGAGCCUGGUACUGAUCGCCAUUUCCAAUCCAGACUCUCCCCCAGACUAUGAGAAGGGUUUUGAUGCAGCCAAGUUCCGCAUCAGUCCCCAGGGUUCAAAGUCCUCCAUUUUGACAGUGACUGGUAUAAAUCCCAGUGACAGUGGCUUCUAUUUCUGCAGUGCCAGUGACACAGUGAGGAACUUGGAUCACAUACCAAAGCAAAAACAUUAG